rnacentral:rRNA from 1 species
AAAUGAAUUGACGGGGACCCGCACAAGCAGCGGAGCAUGUGGUUUAAUUCGAAGCAACGCGAAGAACCUUACCAAGACUUGACAUCGCACGACGACGGCAGAAAUGACGUUUUCCGUAGCAAUACGGACGUGUAGACAGGUGGUGCAUGGUUGUCGUCAGCUCGUGUCGUGAGAUGUUAGGUUAAGUCCUGCAACGAGCGCAACCCUUAUUACUAGUUGCCAAUAUUUAGUUAGGAACUCUAGUAAGACUGCCGUGGAUAACACGGAGGAAGGUGGGGAUGACGUCAAAUCAUCACGCCCCUUACGUCUUGGGCUACACACGUGCUACAAUGGCUAUUACAAAGAGCAGCAAAACCGCAAGGUCAAGCGAAUCUCAUAAAGAUAGUCUCAGUUCAGAUUGUGGGCUGCAACCCGCCCACAUGAAGUCGGAGUUGCUAGUAAUCCCGAAUCAGCACGUCGGGGUGAAUGCGUUCCCGGGUCUUGUACACACCGCCCGU